rnacentral:lncRNA from 1 species
GGACUGUAGUCCUUCUGUGAUCUCAUAAUCCACCAGCAGACCCCUGCUGUAUACCCCUCUGUGUACUCCUGCUGUGUACCUGGAGACCCCCAGGUCUCCAGGGGUCAAACCACACCCCACAGGCACCUUGGAAGAAGAAAUCCACAGGAGGAAAAAAAGAUUUUUUUCAGUGCAGGGUUGGAGGCCAGAGCAGAGAUGGCCACUUUUUCCCAUGGCUGAGUCUAUGCCAGACAUUGCUCAUCAAUUGCCCUUCCCCACGGAGCUUGGAUGAGCCCCAAGAAGUCUUUUCAACAUCGUGCUCUGGGUAUCUACUGCCAAUUGCAUUUGGCAUGCAAAGUGAGACCUGCUUCCCGUCCUGAGAGAAGAUCAUCUCUGAGGCACCAAUAUGAAGUGGGGAUGCAAUAAAUAUUUGUUGGAUGAAUGGGCACUGCUUUUUUUAGCC